rnacentral:lncRNA from 1 species
CCGAACNUAUCUGUUUUUCUCCAUGUUGUGCCCAGGUAUGCAUUGUUUCCAAGGUUGUAUUGAAUUGUUCUUUCUCAGCUCUCCCUUUCAGCAACAAUAGCUUUCCCUUCAUAACUGGCUUUCGAUUCUGCACAUUCAAGACACCUUGCUGCAGUAACCAGAGUUCCUGAUUCUUAAUAUUCCAAGUUCUCAUAACAGUGUUGCCACCAUUUCCUACCUCCACCAAGACUACUUUUGUAUCUUUAAUGUCUGCAGCACCCUNAAUAUUAGUGACAGCCCUAAGUUUAUCAUCUG